AACGAACGCUGGCGGCAUGCCUAACACAUGCAAGUCGAACGAGACCUUCGGGUCUAGUGGCGCACGGGUGCGUAACGCGUGGGAACCUGCACUUAGGUUCGGAAUAACUCCCCGACAGGGGUGCUAAUACCGGAUAAUGUCUUCGGACCAAAGAUUUAUCGCCUUUGGAUGGGCCCGCGUUGGAUUAGCUAGUUGGUAGGGUAAAAGCCUACCAAGGCGACGAUCCAUAGCUGGUCUGAGAGGAUGAUCAGCCACACUGGGACUGAGACACGGCCCAGACUCCUACGGGAGGCAGCAGUGGGGAAUAUUGGACAAUGGGCGAAAGCCUGAUCCAGCAAUGCCGCGUGAGUGAUGAAGGCCUUAGGGUUGUAAAGCGCUUUUACCCGGGAUGAUAAUGACAGUACCGGGAGAAUAAGCUCCGGCUAACUCCGUG
rnacentral:rRNA from 1 species